rnacentral:rRNA from 1 species
GACGAACGCUGGCGGCGUGCUUAACACAUGCAAGUCGAACGGAAAGGCCCUGCUUUUGUGGGGUGCUCGAGUGGCGAACGGGUGAGUAACACGUGAGUAACCUGCCCUUGACUUUGGGAUAACUUCAGGAAACUGGGGCUAAUACCGGAUAGGAGCUCCUGCUGCAUGGUGGGGGUUGGAAAGUUUCGGCGGUUGGGGAUGGACUCGCGGCUUAUCCGCUUGUUGGUGGGGUAGUGGCUUACCAAGGCUUUGACGGGUAGCCGGCCUGAGAGGGUGACCGGACACAUUGGGACUGAGAUACGGCACAGACUCCUCCGGGAGGCAGCAGUGGGGAAUAUUGCACAAUGGGCGGAAGCCUGAUGCAGCAACGCCGCGUGCGGGAUGACGGCCUUCGGGUUGUAAACCGCUUUCGCCUGUGACGAAGCGUGAGUGACGGUAAUGGGUAAAGAAGCACCGGCUAACUACGUG